rnacentral:rRNA from 1 species
AGUGAACGCUGGCGGUAGGCCUAACACAUGCAAGUCGAACGGCAGCACAGUAAGAGCUUGCUCUUACGGGUGGCGAGUGGCGGACGGGUGAGGAAUACAUCGGAAUCUACUUUUUCGUGGGGGAUAACGUAGGGAAACUUACGCUAAUACCGCAUACGACCUACGGGUGAAAGCAGGGGAUCUUCGGACCUUGCGCGAUUGAAUGAGCCGAUGUCGGAUUAGCUAGUUGGCGGGGUAAAGGCCCACCAAGGCGACGAUCCGUAGCUGGUCUGAGAGGAUGAUCAGCCACACUGCAACUGAGACACGGUCCAGACUCCUACGGGAGGCAGCAGUGGGGAAUAUUGGACAAUGGGCGCAAGCCUGAUCCAGCCAUACCGCGUGGGUGCAGAAGGCCUUCGGGUUGUAAAGCCCUUUUGUUGGGAAAGAAAAGCAGCAGGUUAAUACCCCGCUGUUCUGACGGUACCAAAAGAAUAAGCACCGGCUAACUUCGUG